CUACGGGGCGCAGCAGUGAGGAAUAUUGCACAAUGGGGGGAACCCUGAUGCAGCAACGCCGCGUGGAGGAUGACGCAUUUCGGUGUGUAAACUCCUUUUAUAUGUCAAGAAAAUGACGGUAGCAUAUGAAUAAGCGCCGGCUAACUCCGUGCCAGCAGCCGCGGUAAUACGGAGGGCGCAAGCGUUACUCGGAAUCACUGGGCGUAAAGGACGCGUAGGCGGGUUGAAAAGUCAGGUGUGAAAGCCUACAGCUUAACUGUAGAACUGCACUUGAAACUCUCAACCUAGAGUAUGGGAGGGGCAGAUGGAAUUAGUGGUGUAGGGGUAAAAUCCGUAGAUAUCACUAGGAAUACCUAAGGCGAAGGCGAUCUGCUGGAACAUUACUGACGCUAAGGCGUGAAAGCGUGGGGAGCAAACAGGAUUAGAUACCCUCGUAGUC
rnacentral:rRNA from 1 species